rnacentral:sRNA from 1 species
AAGCAUGUUGCCGAAGACAGUAGGUGCCGUAAGGCGUAACGAGUAUGACCUACCGAGGACAGUCAAUCGCUAUAUGAGCGAUAUGAUUAUGAUUUUUUCAAGCCUCUCUGUCUGGUGCAGAGGGGCUUUUGUUUU